AUUGAACGCUGGCGGCAUGCCUUACACAUGCAAGUCGAACGGUAACAGGUCUUCGGAUGCUGACGAGUGGCGAACGGGUGAGUAAUACAUCGGAACGUGCCUAGUAGUGGGGGAUAACUACUCGAAAGAGUGGCUAAUACCGCAUGAGAUCUACGGAUGGAAGCAGGGGAUCGCAAGACCUUGUGCUACUAGAGCGGCCGAUGGCAGAUUAGGUAGUUGGUGGGAUAAAAGCUUACCAAGCCGACGAUUUGUAGCUGGUCUGAGAGGACGAUAAGCCACACUGGGACUGAGACACGGCUCAGGCUCCUACGGGAGGCAGCAGUGGGGAAUUUUGGACAAUGGGCGCAAGCCUGAUCCAGCAAUGCCGCGUGCAGGAUGAUGGCCCUCGGGUUGUAAACUGCUUUUGUACGGAACGAAAAGCCCUGGGUUAAUACCCUGGGGUCAUGACGGUACCGUAAGAAUAAGCACCGGCUAACUACGUGCCAGCCGCCGCCGUAAGAC
rnacentral:rRNA from 1 species